AAGAGCUAACUACAAAUGCAAGAAAAUAGCCAAAGGAAUACAAAAAAAGCCAGCUGAAAACAAAAACGGCAACACGAAAGCAAAAGACCAUUAAAAAAGAGAAAAUAGAUUCGGAGGUAGCGCUACGCUAAUGUCAAUCCGAUCCAUUGAAACACUUUCUACCAAAUUUUGGAAGUAAAAUCGCAAUGGAGAAGCCGAUUUAGUAUAAUUAGAGUUAAAUGCAAAUAAGCCGAUUUAACUGAGAACAAACCACUAUCUUUUAAGCUCCAAACCCACACAUAUAUCUUCAUCGGAGGAUAAAUCUUCCAGCAUUGUUGCUUCGCGCUCAAAAAAAUCUCCGACUCCAAAAAAACGACCUCCUCCAGCUAGCUCUUGCCCUCUCACACUCUCAUAUCACUUACCUAGCUUAAUUUUUGUUUUGAAAUUAUAAAUAACCGACGAAAACUCUCACAAAAAGGACAACUCCCCACCCUCCAUUGAAUCUAGCUAAAACUAAAACUAAAAUUGUUAUUUGAUACAAUGAUAGUAUGCAGAGAGAAUAAGAAGCGGCAGAUAAAAAUAAGAAUUUUAGUACUAUAAUGUUUUUGUUGGGUUUAAUGGACCGGUAACAUAAAAAUUGAGCCUCAAUUUUGAACUUUUUAAGUU
rnacentral:lncRNA from 1 species